UACGAAGGGGGCUAGCGUUGUUCGGAAUUACUGGGCGUAAAGCGCGCGCGAGGCGGUCUUCCAAGUCAGUGGUGAAAGCCCGGAGCUCAACUCCGGAACUGCCAUUGAAACUGUAAGACUUGAGGACGAGAGAGGUGAGUGGAAUUCCCAGUGUAGAGGUGAAAUUCGUAGAUAUUGGGAAGAACACCAGUGGCGAAGGCGGCUCACUGGCUCGUAUCUGACGCUCAGGCGCGACAGCGUGGGGAUCAAACAGG
rnacentral:rRNA from 1 species